rnacentral:rRNA from 1 species
CCUACGGGUGGCUGCAGUGGGGAAUAUUGGGCAAUGGGCGCAAGCCUGACCCAGCAACGCCGCGUGAAGGAAGAAGGCUUUCGGGUUGUAAACUUCUUUUGUCAGGGACGAAGCAAGUGACGGUACCUGACGAAUAAGCCACGGCUAACUACGUGCCAGCAGCCGCGGUAAUACGGAGGUGGCAAGCGUUAUCCGGAUUUAUUGGGUGUAAAGGGAGGGUAGGCGGGAAUGCAAGUCAGAUGUGAAAACUAUGGGCUCAACCCAUAGCCUGCAUUUGAAACUGUAUUGCUUGAGUGCUGGAGAGGCAAUCGGAAUUCCGGGUGUAGCGGUGAAAUGCGUAGAUAUACGGAGGAACACCAGUGGCGAAGGCGGAUUGCUGGACAGUAACUGACGCUGAGGCGCGAAAGCGUGGGGAGCAAACAGGAUUAGAUACCCUAGUAGUC